rnacentral:rRNA from 1 species
UACGGAGGGUGCAAGCGUUAUCCGGAUUCACUGGGUUUAAAGAGCGUGUAGGCGGCCAAACAGGUCCGUUGUGAAAACUGGAGGCUUAACCUCCAGACGUCGACGGAAACCGUGUGGCUAGAGUCCGGAAGAGGAGAGUGGAAUUCCUGGUGUAGCGGUGAAAUGCGCAGAUAUCAGGAAGAACACCAAUGGCGAAGGCAGCUCUCUGGGACGGUACUGACGCUGAGACGCGAAAGCGUGGGGAGCGAACAGG